CAGCAGCCACGGUAAUACAGAGGGUGCGAGCGUUAAUCGGAUUUACUGGGCGUAAAGCGUGCGUAGGCGGCUUCUUAAGUCGGAUGUGAAAUCCCUGAGCUUAACUUAGGAAUUGCAUUCGAUACUGGGAAGCUAGAGUAUGGGAGAGGAUGGUAGAAUUCCAGGUGUAGCGGUGAAAUGCGUAGAGAUCUGGAGGAAUACCGAUGGCGAAGGCAGCCAUCUGGCCUAAUACUGACGCUGAGGUACGAAAGCAUGGGGAGCAAACAGGAUUAGAUACCCGCGUAGUCCCUGUCUCUUAUAU
rnacentral:rRNA from 1 species